CAAAGGAGACUGGAAGCUUCAUUUGAGUGCUGAACAACUGGAGAAGUAGCCUCGCAAUAAGGGAUGAGACGCGAACAAUGCUAUCAGUCUACUCCUUAGCAUUUCAUGGGUGAUGAAUGGAAAAUGUGGAAAUAAAUUAAUUAUUGAUAUACGAUAAGAAAAUACUACGCAGCCCAGUUUAUAAAGUGGCUCUUGGUGGUGUUUGUUCGGUGACGUUGUGUGAAUCAGGCAACAGAUUAAUCACUGCACGUGAGCAUAUUUCCCUGGAUUUACCUACUGUAUGAGGCAAUUUUUCUCCAUUUCAAUACCCAAAAGGCAAACCUCGUAAGAUCCUUGGUGCAGGAGAUUGCACAUAACAUAACCCAGAUGAUACAUAGUGUUUCUUGCAGCCUUUCACAAGUUGUGCGAGAUGCGUGAGCGAUAAGGGAAAAGGUGCAAAGAACCCGCCUCAGCAUUCACCUGUCAGCACUAACAGCAUCGUUCCUCUUUCACUUGUGGGCGGAAGAGUGCUCGGUGCCGCUCCGACAGAGUAAUGCGAGUACUGCGUAAUUGUGUAUCUCCAUGGCACACUACAUGUGAUAAGUGAGCAAUAAUUCGCGGCUGUCGCUGUGUUUUUUUUUUUUUUUUCGUAUUUUUUCCUUGACGCCUCAUGUCUGUGGGGUUGUGCCAGUGACGGGGAGAUUACUCAGCAAAGUGGAAACGUGUUGGUCUCCACGGAACAGCUCCCGCAAGCAACAAGCAACAAUGCUGUCAACAGCUGAAAAGAUAAAGGUUUCCUUAAAGACGAGCGCUUUAAAAAGACUGUGACAUGACUAACACAGGAGAGUGAAUGUGGCUUUUGACUCCAGUCAUGACGACACCGCGGUAAUAUGUGAGGGGGAGCAGCUGACUGUGCCUGUUAUUGCUUUACUCAAGGCUGAACUCCUGAAACAUCUUGAGUCUAAUGAAGAUGCCUCUGAUGUUUUGAAAGAAAUGGAGCGUGUGAUGUACUGUAAGAGGACCUCUCUGACGGAUACUCUGAUCAAGACACUCUUCACACAAGUAAGCCAAGGUUAUACAUUUUUGCUAUAAAUGAUUUGUGUGUGUGCAUGUGUGUGUGUGUGUCUGCGUGCGUGCGUGCGUGUGCUCUAAUAAAUUUUCUUUUUUAAUCAGUAACAGCAUUUGUCCCUCACAUCAAAAGGAGCGCAUCUCAUUGAAGAUGCUGGUACGCUUGACUAGCUGCUGAGGUGAAUGUCAACUAGGUAGGCCUACAACAACAACAACAAGAGGAAAUUCACCACAGUUAAGCUGCUUUGGAAAAGGCUCAUUAGGCUCUGUCACAGUCUGCUGGAGAAGCAUGACGGUGUGUUUGCUACACCUGAUUCGAUAAAGCUGAAGUUUCUACGUGAGAGAAUAGCUCGCGUCUUCCCCGACGGAGGCUGCGUUCGCGUGAAAGAUGCAAAAGGUUGAGCGUGUAGGAUGAGCACUACAUGUCCAAUACAUGCAUUUUAAAUGAUCUCAAAGGGCUGUCCUAGAAAUGCUUACAUCCCAUAAUACAAUCAGACAUCAGUUGGGAACCCCAAACGCAGCAUAAGCGCACGUGGCCCCUCCAAGGUCCUGCUGGCCAUGUGCUUGAGUUAGGACGCCUGAGGGGGGGGUCCCGAGGCCUGGAGGAAAGCGAAGCACCAAAUAGCAGAUGUUAAUGAAACACUGAGUAUCCAACGCUGAGCGAUUAAAGCCGAGGAACGCUUAGAGUCCCCCAAGUGAAAAGAAGCAGUUUAUAUCUUAACAUUUUUCCAGAAACUUUUGGCUGUGUAGCAUAUUAAUGUUGCAGGCAAACACUGGAAGUCAUUUAGCCUUUUUGAACGAUCACACGCUUAAUGCAGAGCAAGGGCCACGCAGGUAGACAUAUAUAUUUACCCUGCAAAUCAUUUGUUCCCCUUCUGCCACGCCGUAAUCAGUCAGUAUCCAUAUUUACACAGCGGAAAAUGUCAACUAUAUGCAUUGAAUGCCUUUUAGAGUGUGCACUAACAGCCAUGUUUGCAUAAUGAAGCAUAUCGUUAGGAAGUCUUUUUGCUGUUUUUCUAAUUGGGACAAAUAUUCUUCCUAUUGUAAAGGCCUCCUUAUUGCCAGGGAGACGUCCCCGGCGCCUUCCUUCCUCUGCUGCUUCCACCGUAACAAUGACAAACACGCCGGCUUUUAAUACAUAUAAAGGAAUGUUACGCAUGCUCCUUAACUCUAACGCAGUUAAACAAAAUGUGCCCUGUGGUGCCGCGGAAUGAACGGAGGAAGAUAAAGUUGCUGAUGAACAAAACAUGCUUGGAAUCAAAAGUUCCCGAGGAAGUCAGCUCCGCCGUCUGCCGCUAAAAGCAAAUGUUACGGCUCUGCCUGACGAAUUAUUAAUCGCUCGCUCACUCAAAUGUUUUCUCCUCCCUCUCUCUCCCUCUCUCUCUCUCUCUCCUGCGCUGGCCAGUGUUUCAUUCCUAUGGCGAGCACGAGCUGCCAUUUACAGACUACAAGAGCAAAUGUUAAUUUGCCCCGUGCGCAUUUCUUUGCCAGAGGAGCCAUAGGGCCGGGAGCGGACACAGUGGCAAAGAGAGGGGAGCCGACUUGGGUAUUUACAUAAGGUAAUGUGAUUGAGUUGUUGCCAUAGAUUUAUCCUUUCCCUCCAAAACCCCACGGGUGGGGUGAGGAAUGAGAAAUGAGCGAGGGCCCAGACGUUAAAGAGACACGCUUCCAGCCGGUCGCCUCACGCUCUUCUUCUUCUUCUUCUGCUCCGCGUGGGACAGGAAGACGCUUCCUGUGAUGUAACCCGGUCCAGAUUGCUGUCGGGAUCACUCGUAGUUUACAGACGGUGCAGGUGCAGCCGCGGGGAGCGUUUAAAAUGUCUUCAGCAGGUGUUGGAGCAUUGUCUUCUCAUCUGUUUCAAAUCUGUCUCAGUCCUUUCAGACUUGUUUUUGAUUAAGGUCUGCAGGAAUAAAGCCGGCGUUAUGUUAAUUUGCCGUUUGGGACUGGAGAUCCUCUCCCCCCGAAGGCUGGUCAUCACAGCUGAACCUGAGCGUAAUGAUACACUUCCGUUUGAUGCUGAUUUGCAGGGUUUCUUUUGCCGUCGAGGCAGAUGUCGACUCACUGUGCUUGAACCUAUAUUUGCAGGGUACUGUUAUUGCGGUACGUGUUUUUCUGUUAAUGCCAAGCUUUAUGCAGCGACAGACGUGCAGCAUAGCACCUGAUUAGCAGAGCCUCAUCGUCCAGCAGCAACAUUCACACCCCAAAAUCUGCACGUCCUGUCACUGUGUCGCCGAACGUCCGGCUAAACGUAGGCACCGAAAGGCUCCUCUGGAUCCAAACUUCCUCCUCGGCUCCUCCAUUUACAUAUAAACUGUCAAGAUUUCCAGCCAGCAAGUGUGUUUUGUUCCAGCCUGUCUGUCCGGGCAUCGGAGUGACGAACGUGAAGAUUGUGCCUCACGGACGAAGCUAAAUGGUUUUACACGGCGGAGGAGGAGGAGGAGGAGGAGGAGGGAAGCAGGCAGGAAAAGCAGCUGAGGAACGAGUGCUCGUGGCCACAGCAGCAGACGCGAAGCACAGCACAUUAAAGAGGCCCAGGAGACCUAUUAAGGAACCCAGGGAAGAAAAACACCAGAUUUCAUCUGAUUCCCUGGAGGCUGAAGUCUUACAAUAUUAAGAACACUUUCUGGAGAGAGUCCAUAACACCACAGAAGUUCUACUGUUUCUACAACCUGCUCGAUUUGCCACGGAGAAAAGGAGAGCACACAGGAAAACUGCAAUGAAAUAAGUUUUCUUUUAUUAAAUCGUAUACAAUAACACAACAACACAGAAUCAAUUAUAGGAUGUGAAAGCGAGGUUGUGAAGAGCAUUCCUGGAUGAGCCGGGACGUGUUGCAUGUGUGGGGUUGGAAACAAAUAGGAGCCGGACAGCGCAAUCACGACUCUAGCAUCUUAUUAGCACCUGGAUUCAUAGUAGAAAAUGAAAAGUACACAGGUUGACUGCCCUCUGACAGAGUCGUAGCCUCCUUCUAUGCCUAUUUUGCUACAGUAAAAUACCAAUACCAAAUAGUAAAAUAGUAUUAGUAAUAGUCAGCUUCCAUAAAGGUGAAGGCUGAACAGCUGCUUCAAUCUCAAUUGCAAUCUAAUGAAUCUAUAAGGUUUUCAUUCUUUAAAAAAUGUAAUAAACAUCUUUAUAUAGUUAACCUCAUGUUACAUUCAAGCUGGUUCAUCACCUUAGACUGUUUAGAUGAGUGUUUGCCUUUCAGUGAAUGAACACAGUAUGUUCCACAACGCUUCGCCGGUUCAGGGCUCCUCAAAGGGUCAGCCAACUUCAGAAUAUACUGUAAAAGUGUCUUUGCAAUAAACAUGACCUCAGCGACGGUGGAUUUUUAGAGAUUUAUUUAUUAUACAAAAACAUUUACAGUUAUAAGGACUUGACAGUGUAAAUAAAAUAAAGACCCAGUUCUCUACAGGAAGUUUUUGU